UGUUCUGUGGCUUAGUUGGUUAAAGCACCGGUCUAGCGAAUACGGGUUCGUGCGUUCGAAUUCCACCAGAACGC
rfam:Aedes albopictus isolate Foshan contig21295, whole genome shotgun sequence.